rnacentral:rRNA from 1 species
GACGAACGCUGGCGGCGUGCUUAACACAUGCAAGUCGAACGGAAAGACCCUGCUUUUGUGGGGUGCUCGAGUGGCGAACGGGUGAGUAACACGUGAGUAACCUGCCCUUGACUUUGGGAUAACUUCAGGAAACUGGGGCUAAUACCGGAUAGGAGCUCCUGCUGCAUGGUGGGGGUUGGAAAGUUUCGGCGGUUGGGGAUGGACUCGCGGCUUAUCAGCUUGUUGGUGGGGUAGUGGCUUACCAAGGCUUUGACGGGUAGCCGGCCUGAGAGGGUGACCGGCCACAUUGGGCCUGAGAUACGGCCCAGACUCCUACGGGAGGCAGCAGUGGGGAAUAUUGCACAAUGGGCGGAAGCCUGAUGCAGCAACGCCGCGUGCGGGAUGACGGCCUUCGGGUUGUAAACCGCUUUCGCCUGUGACGAAGCGUGAGUGACGGUAAUGGGUAAAGAAGCACCGGCUAACUACGUG